UACGAAGGGUGCAAACGUUGCUCGGAAUUAUUGGGCGUAAAGCGCACGUAGGCGGCUUAGCAAGUCGGAAGUGAAAUCCCUCGGCUCAACCAAGGAAGUGCUUUCGAAACUGCUGAGCUUGAGUACUUAAGAGGAUCGCGGAAUUCUCGGUGUAGAGGUGAAAUUCGUAGAUAUCGAGAGGAACACCGGUGGCGAAGGCGGCCUUCUGGACAGUGACUGGCGCUGAGACGCGAAAGCGUGGGGAGCAAACAGG
rnacentral:rRNA from 1 species